UCGAGGCGUAAACUCGGAGGUCAUGGUGCGUGAAUUGUAAUGCACGUUGGUUUUUUCUGUUUUCUUUUUUGUAUUAUUAAAGGAACGGAUUGCUUAUUUUGUUAUAAUGGAACUUUUAGAUAUAAUGUAUAUGGCGAGGAUCCUUUGCAACGAAAAACGUUAUUUUCUUAUAGAAAAGUUUUUUCACGAAGACGUUGUGCUUCAACGAUUAAGUGUAGAGAUGAAACAAUGUGUUUUGUGCGAUCAUGGACUGCUCGCUCUAGACAUGCUUGGAUUGUUCAAAGAGGCUGCUAUCAAAUUCAAAAAGGUGAUCUCCUGCCACGGACGAUGAAUAUACCAAUGCGAUCGAUGUCUUGUAAAUAUGAAAGACGACACAAGGCGGCUGCGACGGGCUAUCGAGUAGGCGUGGGAACUAAACGCGGAGACCGAGUGGCGCCACGGGCAAUUUGACAACCACGAUCACCUCCGAUCUCUCACCUUCUUGUACCGUAUGCAUUAUUAGCAUCUAUAUAACUAGAUUUUUAAAUAAGAUUUGAAGUAUUUUAAGUGUAAUUUACUUAUAUCGAAUUUCAUAUAAAACAUUGUUAUUUACUUGACGUAUCCAAAGUGUAACAAGCAAGUAUAAAAUUUAACGAUAUUUUAAAAUAA